AGCGAACGCUGGCGGCAGGCCUAACACAUGCAAGUCGAACGAACUCUUCGGACUUUUUGGCGGUCGGGUGAGUACCACGUGGUAACGUGCCUUUAGGUUCGGUAUACCUCACUGUAACUUGUCCUAAUACCGAAUGUGCCCUUCGGGGGUAAGAUUUCUGGCCUUUUGAGCGGCCCGAGUCUGUUUCGCUAGUUGGUGAGGUAAAGGCUCCUCAUGGCGAGGUUCAUUAGCUGGUCUGUUAGGAUGAUCAGCUACAUUGGGACUGCGACACGGACCAAAAUGGUACGGAAGGGAGCAGAGGGGAAUCUUGCGCAAUGGGCGAAAGCCUGACGCAGCCAUGCCGCGUGAAUGAUGAAGGUGUUAGGAUUGUAAAAUUGUUUCACCGGGGACGAGAAUGACGGUACCCGGAGAAGAAGCACCGGCUAACUACGUG
rnacentral:rRNA from 1 species